GCCGGGCUGGCGGAACCGGCAGACGCGGAGGCCUCAAAAGCCUCUGGGCCGAAAGGCCCGUGUGGGUUCGACUCCCUCGCCCGGCACCA
rnacentral:tRNA from 1 species